GUGAGGAAUAUUGCGCAAUGGGCGAAAGCCUGACGCAGCCACGCCGCGUGCAGGAUGACACCCCUACGGGGCGUAAACUGCUUUUGUGUGAGAAGAACAACCCCGACGUGUCGGGGUCUGACGGUACCGCACGAAUAAGGACCGGCUAACUCCGUGCCAGCAGCCGCGGUAAUACGGAGGGUCCAAGCGUUGUCCGGAUUCAUUGGGUGUAAAGGGUGCGUAGGCGGGUCUGUAAGUCAGAGGUGAAAUCCCGCGGCUCAACCGUGGAACUGCCUUUGAUACUGCAGAUCUUGAGUCCUGGAGAGGUCGCCGGAAUUCGUGGUGUAGCGGUGAAAUGCGUAGAUAUCACGAGGAACGCCGGAGGUGCAGACGGGUGACUGGACAGGUACUGACGCUGUGGCACGAAAGCGUGGGGAGCAAACAGGAUUAGAAACCCGGGUAGUCC
rnacentral:rRNA from 1 species